GAGCAGGCGCACGGCGGGCAGGCGCACGGUUGAACUUCAUUGAGUUAUCACCGAUUCAUCGUGAUGGCGACCGAAGGUUCAAGUAGUGAUGCUACUGGUGGUGUUUCUGCAACAUCGACAGAUGUUAGAGCUCCAUUGUGGGAUCAUGUCCAUAUUUUAGAGAGACCUAGAGCAGGGGGGGGGGCAAUACUAGAUGGAAGUGCAAGUAUUGUUCAUAUGAAGGAUUCAGUAGCUACACUCGAGUUGAAGCUCAUUUGCUGCAGAAGAAGGGAAAGGGAGUGGGUAUAUGUCCGAAGGUGUCUAUUGAUUUGCUUAGACAAAUGAGAAGAGAUGUUCUAAGGUGGGAUAUUUGGGAAAAUGAAGAUGAAGCAAAUCCUGAACAAACCUAGUUGGAUACUUGGAUGAACUUGCAAGCUACUAUCCUAGCUAUUAUGUUAUGUAAUAGAACUUAAGUAGAACUUGCUAUCUGCUAUGUUGAACUUCUAUGUUUUAUUGUGUGAGCUACUAUCUACUAAACUUUUCAAUUUGCUAUU